GGCUAUUAGGGCAAUCUAGCUACAAUAUCCAUCGCUCCAUUGACAGUCAGGGUCAAUUCAGCUGAUCUGAAUUGACUAAGUGGGUGCCCCUUUCCUUCCUUAUACUACCAUGUGUAUCCAUCCCCAAAGUGCAUGCUAAGUUGAAGAAGACGACCUUCCCUGACAGAGGAGGAAUAUUCUUUGGUCAAGAAUAUAGGAGUAGCUGCAUUGCCCUGCUACAAUCUCCAAAAAAGUUCUCAAGGUCCAUUUAUAGAACAUAAGGUAGUCAUGCAUCUAAGACUCCAGACACAUCCAAACAUCCAAACGAGGUCCUGAAUGU
rnacentral:snRNA from 2 species